UGGCUCAGGAUGAACGCUGGCGGCGUGCUUAACACAUGCAAGUCGAACGAUGAUCCCAGCUUGCUGGGGGAUUAGUGGCGAACGGGUGAGUAACACGUGAGUAACCUGCCCUUGACUCUGGGAUAAGCCUGGGAAACUGGGUCUAAUACCGGAUAUGACUGUCUGACGCAUGUCAGGUGGUGGAAAGCUUUUGUGGUUUUGGAUGGACUCGCGGCCUAUCAGCUUGUUGGUGGGGUAAUGGCCUACCAAGGCGACGACGGGUAGCCGGCCUGAGAGGGUGACCGGCCACACUGGGACUGAGACACGGCCCAGACUCCUACGGGAGGCAGCAGUGGGGAAUAUUGCACAAUGGGCGCAAGCCUGAUGCAGCGACGCCGCGUGAGGGAUGACGGCCUUCGGGUUGUAAACCUCUUUCAGUAGGGAAGAAGCGAAAGUGACGGUACCUGCAGAAGAAGCGCCGGCUAACUACGUGCCAGCAGCCGCGGUAAUACGUAGGGCGCAAGCGUUAUCCGGAAUUAUUGGGCGUAAAGAGCUCGUAGGCGGUUUGUCGCGUCUGCUGUGAAAGACCGGGGCUCAACUCCGGUUCUGCAGUGGGUACGGGCAGACUAGAGUGCAGUAGGGGAGACUGGAAUUCCUGGUGUAGCGGUGAAAUGCGCAAGAUAUCAGGAGGA
rnacentral:rRNA from 1 species